rnacentral:rRNA from 1 species
ACUCCUACGGGAGGCAGCAGUGGGAAUAUUGCACAAAUGGGCGCAAAGCCUGAUGCAGCCAUGCCGCGUGUAUGAAGAAGGCCUUCGGGUUGUAAAGUACUUUCAGCAGUGAGGAAGGUGGGUAUGUAUACAUACUCAUUUGACGUUAGCUGCAGAAGAAGCACCGGCUAACUCCGUGCCAGCAGCCGCGGUAAUACGGAGGGUGCGAGCGUUAAUCGGAAUUACUGGGCGUAAAGCGCAUGCAGGUGGUUUGUUAAGUCAGAUGUGAAAGCCCGGGGCUCAACCUCGGAAUUGCA